CUCUCGCUCUAUUUUCUGGGUUUUCCUGCGAAAUGCAUCAGAUUAUUUCUUGGAUUACAAAAAAGUACCAUCAUUUGCUCUUACUAGCAAGCCAUCAGCGCAGUCACACGUGCGUCUCCUCUUGAGCCACACGUGUGUACUUCUCUGAUCCCCCCCCCCCCCCCUCUCCGGAGAGCAUUACAUCCCCCCACAUGGACAGGAAGGAAUCGACUCUCUUUGAAGUGGUAGAAAGUCAAUGGAGAAGAGCCUGGCGGCACAGGGUUCGGAAUUUUAGGAUAAGAUCCCCACAAAAGAAUGAAGGCAUCUUCCAUCGAACAGACGGUGCCGGUCAACGCCGUCACAGAGAGAGAGAGAGAGAGAGAGAGAGAGAGAGCCUUUUCAGCUGGCUACUUCUGGAGAACAAAGGUCUUGUUGAGGAUCAUGUCGUCGGUGGUGAAGUCAGCUGCCUUCCGAAAGGUUCCCCGCCCGAAGUCGAGGUUGUAGGAGUCCGUCAAGCCCUCCACAAGGUCAAACUCCGGGGCCCACCCCAGCUCCC
rnacentral:lncRNA from 1 species